rnacentral:rRNA from 1 species
CAGGAUGAACGCUAGCGGCAGGCUUAACACAUGCAAGUCGAGGGGUAACGACUCCGUCUUCGGAUGGAGGUCGACGACCGGCGCACGGGUGAGUAACGCGUAUGCAACCUACCUUUUACAGGAGGAUAGCCCAGAGAAAUUUGGAUUAAUACUCCAUAGUACUAAUGAAUCACCUGGUUUAUUAGUUAAAACUCCGGUGGUAAAAGAUGGGCAUGCGUGUCAUUAGCUAGUUGGUAAGGUAACGGCUUACCAAGGCGAAGAUGACUAGGGGUUCCGAGAGGAAGAUCCCCCACACUGGUACUGAGACACGGACCAGACUCCUACGGGAGGCAGCAGUGAGGAAUAUUGGUCAAUGGGUGAGAGCCUGAACCAGCCAUGCCGCGUGAAGGAAGACUGCCCUAUGGGUUGUAAACUUCUUUUCUGCAGGAAGAAAUCACUCUACGUGUAGGGUGUUGCCGGUACUGCAGGAAUAAGCAUCGGCUAACUCCGUGCCAGCAGCCGCGGUAAUACGGAGGAUGCAAGCGUUAUCCGGAUUUAUUGGGUUUAAAGGGUGCGUAGGCGGGCUUGUAAGUCAGUGGUGAAAUGCUGUGGCUUAACCAUAGAAUUGCCAUUGAAACUGCAAGUCUUGAGUACAGUUGAGGUGGGCGGAAUGAGUAAUGUAGCGGUGAAAUGCCUAGAUAUUACUCAGAACUCCGAUUGCGUAGGCAGCUUGCUAAACUGUAAACUGACGCUGAUGCACGAAAGCGUGGGGAGCGAACCAGGAUUAGAUACCCUGGUAGUCCACGCUGUAAACCGAUGAGCACUGGGUUGUUGACAAUACACCGUCAGCGGACUGAGCGAAAGGUAUUAAGUGCUCACCUGCGGAGUACGUCGGCAACGAUGAAACUCCAAAGGGAAUUGACGGGGGCCCGCACAAGCGGAGGACCAUGUGGGUUUAUUCGAUGAUACGCGAGGAACCCUUUACCUGGGCUUACUGUUCAAGGCUUGCUUGGGAAACAGGCAUUUCUUCGGAACUCUUUCCAGGUGCUCCUGCGUGUCGCAGUCGUGCCGUAAGUGCCGGGUUAAGUCC